CUUUCCCCAUGCUUGGAGAUCCCACGAACGCCAGGGAAGCCUCCGUCUGCAUUCAUCCCUGAGCAAAAUUGAAAGGCAAGACCAAGGAGCAGUGUUUCCAGGGGCGAGUUGGGAGGCAAAAAGAAAGAAGUACCUCUCGCGGGUUCCAACUUGCAGCGAGCAUCGCGGUCUUCGCAGCAGGUACGCAGAAGCAGGCUGGGGAGCAGAGGGCCGCUGGACCCCUUGCUUCGAAAAAUCCUUGCUGAAGUUAAAAAUCAAGAUGAACCAGACAAACUGCAGACCCAGUUAUUGCAGGAGCCAGUGUGGCCACAAGUUCCAGUCGCUCUUCUCUUGUUUUCUCCAUGCAUUCUUCUGUUCAUCUGUCUCCUUUCCCUGCCUGGCAGCCCUCUUGCUGCCUUUCCGACGAACUGUCAUUACCUCCUCUCUGACAAUGUCUAACUGACAUUGCCCUCCUCUCUGUUCCUGCUCCCCUCUUCCUCUCUUCUGUUUUCUCUCUCCCCCUACUCUCUCUGUCUCCGACCUUCCUCCACUUCUCCCUCCCUCUCCUCCCUUCCUGAACCCUGCAUCUCCACCCAUCUCCUUUUUUCUAUCUCAGUCCCCCCUCAUUCUCUAAUUCACCUUUCUUCUUUCCUCCUUCUCUCCAUCCCUUCAGUAUGGUUGCCGCUAUUAUAUGGCUGCAUCUCUUUAAAUCACGCUUAACCUACCAAUCACUGAUGGCACUCAAUGCGUCAAUAAGGGAAUUUGCUGAAAGUCUUUGCUUUAUUAUUAGUGGUUUAACUAGCACCCUUUGUAUGCCCCGAGAUAGGUUCAUCCCUUAAAAUUUCACAAAACUGAAGCAUCUGCACUCUCCUCUACUUAUAGAAAUGUAUCUCAUUCUCAGUGUGUAUACAUCACACUUCGUGAAAGCAGACAUUUCAUAAUCUUUGGCCACACUGAGGCUCCCAAGGCAGUACAGAAAUCCAGGUGUCCUCAAGUUAGGAAAUAUCAAUCUGGUCCACAGAUACUACCUUCAUGGUGGGCAAUGGUGUGAAAAUGCCUGUGUGAACUGACUGUUUUCUUUUUGGAAAGUCAGUUUAGGGGCCUCCUCUCUUCGGAAUUUGCCAGUGGAAAAGAAAAAGGAUGAUCCAGAGAUUUUAUUUUAUUUUUAAAAUUUUUAUUAGUGGGAGUUCCCGUCGUGGCGCAGUGGUUAACGAAUCUGACUAGGAACCAUGAGGUUUCGGGUUCGGUCCCUGCCCUUGCUCAGUGGGUUAACGAUCCGGCAUUGCUGUGAGCUGUGGUGUAGGUUGCAGAUGCGGCUCGGAUCCCGCAUUGCUGUGGCUCUGGCGUAGGCUGGUGGCUGCAGCUCCGAUUCGACCCCUAGCCUGGGAACCUCCAUAUGCUGCGGGAGUGGCCCAAGAAAUAGC
rnacentral:lncRNA from 1 species